rnacentral:lncRNA from 1 species
UUUUAAAGAGCACUUUUUCAAAUGGGGAACAUCAAUUGUUUUGGGAAAAUCGACGAUCAUUUAAGGUAAUCUUCCUUAUAUUUAUUGUUUUUCAUAACAAAAAGUGUGAAAAAAAUGUCUAAUUAGUUAUAAAUAAUCUACCAGACCUGCCAGAUCAGAGAAAUGGCACUUUUUCAAAAAUUCCCAGGGGGAACCAAAAUCCAGGGUGCUCGCAUAAGGCAGCUUAACUGCCUAAAAACAACAACCUUGAUUAAACCUUCAACACUAAAUCAGAAAUUGAAGAGAAAUUUGAGGAAGAAUUCAUUCCAGAUUAUGAUGAGGAAAUCACCAGCAGCGAGAAAGAAGUUGCCAUUGUGGAAGUAGAGAUAAAUGUACAUGUAGAUGAAAGGGAUGAACAAAUUGAGGAACUUAAAUACAAAAUAAAAGAAAUGGAGGAAGAAUACAGGAAAGAAACCCACA